rnacentral:lncRNA from 1 species
AGAACAGGCGAUAGUGAUAACAUGCUGAAGGCUGGUGUCUUCUCUUCUCCCGGAGGGACUCGCACCCACAAAAUGAUGGGGAGGAGGCGGCAGCAAGGCCAGUCACCACUCCAGUUAUGUACAUCAUGUCUACUACUCCCUUAAUGGGAAAUGUGCACCACUGGGAAUCUGAAGACCACAUCUCAACCUUAACAAGGUAUGAACUUGAAACUCACAGGAUUGGAAGAGUCUACUGGAUACCAUGCAGCCCGAUCUGCACCUACGAUCCUUAUUCGGCAAAAUUCCCAGAGCCAUUUUCCGUUUCUCAAUCCCGUGGGCAGCGCCGCCGACAUCAGUGGAUGAUCUCCUCUUUCAAACUCCUUUACAGAAUCAAGAGAAAGGAAACCUAG